CAUAUUAGUGCUUGGCCACCUAGUAAGCACUCAGUAAAUACUUGAUGAGUGCCUACUAUGUGCCAGGCAUUGUGCUGA
rnacentral:pre_miRNA from 1 species